rnacentral:rRNA from 1 species
GACGAACCGUGCGAACGUUAUUCGGAUUCACUGGGCUUAAAGGGCGCGUAGGCGGCCAACUAAGUCAGACGUGAAAUCCCUCGGCUUAACCGGGGAACUGCGUCCGAUACUGGAUGGCUUGAGUUUGGGAGAGGGAUGCGGAAUUCCAGGUGUAGCGGUGAAAUGCGUAGAUAUCUGGAGGAACACCGGUGGCGAAGGCGGCAUCCUGGACCAACACUGACGCUGAGGAGCGAAAGCCAGGGGAGCAAACGGG